rnacentral:rRNA from 1 species
AUGUCGAGCGAGGCUAGAAGAAAGAAGGAUAUUAUCCCUACACAAGAAGCAGAGGCGUCUGGGUCCAUGUCGACCGCAAGAAAGCGACGGCGGCCGCCGACUCGUCAGGAAACCGGGCCAACAUCUCCUGCUCUCGGGGACGGUACCACACAAUCGAGGAUCCCUGAUGAGGAGGAUGACGAGGAUCAGGACGCUAAGAAGAGAAAUCUGGUCAGACUGGAGGAGGAGGAGGUGGAGGAGGAGGAAGAGGUGGUCUCCUCUGCACCGAGCUCCCCGAUCUGCGAGCCGUAUAUCCCCAGAGACAAAGACGGAGCGAUGCACAACAGAUUUCGCAACCCGGCAAUAUACAACGCCUUAAGGGCUGCAGAAGAGAUGGUGGAAGAAAAACUAGCUGCCCAGAGGAAACUGCCAACACUUCACUUCGAAUCUUCCACUUGCCUAUCUCAUCAACAACUUCUCCCAGUGCGUGAAUCUGGAACAGAGGCUGUACUUCAUGCUGCCAAUUUUGUUCUCGCGCUUUCAUCAUUUGCUGAUGGCAAAGCUCUGCGAAGGUGUUCUGCCAUUUUAUUUGAAUGGGAUGAUCAUCUUAAAACUGGUGUUGUGUUGACGACGGCACAUCUAAUCCGCUCAAAUUGCCCAUCCAUUGACCACUGGUUAGGAAAGAACGAGUACCGGCCUGAUGCUAAGGUGGUUGUUCAUUUUUUAGAUGAUACAACUGCAGAGGGUGACCUCUUGUACCAUCAAGAACACUAUGAUAUUACUUUUUUCAAAGUUAAAGUCGGUCAAUGCCCCCAACUGCCUUUGUUUGUUGACAAUGUGAAAUCCGGUCAAGAAAUUUUCCAGCUUGGAAGAGAUGAGAAGUUGAACCUGAGAAUAACCUAUGGCAGGGCACAAUCUAAGAAUCCAAACAUGUAUCGAAGACAACACUUCAUGUACAUGCAUCGUAAAGAUGAUAACAAUGAGUUUGAUGAUGGAGGGCCAGCAAUUGACUUCAGUGCAAAUAUUGUUGGCAUGAUCAACAACUCUACGAGCGGAUCUUUCAUACCUACUUCUAUCUUGCACCAAUGCUUCUACUUCUGGAGGAAUCAUGGGCGCAUCCCUCGGCUCCACCUCAGAUUGAAGCUUUUCGCUAUCAAGCUUCUAGACCCUUCUCAUAUUGAGAGGAUAAGGCGAAAAUGCAAAAUUGAUAGUGGUCUUAUUGUUCAAGAGGUGUCAAGUGGGUCCCAUGCUGAGAUGCUUGGAAUCUGUAGAGGUGAUAUUAUCAGCUGUUUUGAGGGAGAGGAAGUUUCUACUACAGUCGAGUUGGAGAAAAUGAUGUUGGAUGUUUGCAAGAAUCGUUUUAUGGGAGGAAUAAACUGGAAUAGAAAAGUGGAUGUUUCGGUUUUGGUUUUCGACAUCCGGAGGAGUCACUGGAGGACCAAGGUGUUGACUCUAGAUGUUUCUGACAAGGGAGAAGUUAUCGUGAGAGCAUCUCGUCUCGUGACUGUUUAA